GCGGAGGUGGCGGAACUGGUAGACGCACUAGGUUGAGGGCCUAGCGGACAUUGAGUCCAUAAGGGUUCAAGUCCCUUCCUCCGCA
rnacentral:tRNA from 1 species